AUUGAACGCUGGCGGCAGGCUUAACACAUGCAAGUCGAGCGGGGAAAGGUAGCUUGCUACCUGACCUAGCGGCGGACGGGUGAGUAAUGCUUAGGAAUCUGCCUAUUAGUGGGGGACAACAUUCCGAAAGGAAUGCUAAUACCGCAUACGACCUACGGGGGAAAGCAGGGGAUCUUCGGACCGUGCGCUAAUAGAUGAGCGUAAGUCAGAUUAGCUAGUUGGUGGGGUAAAGGCCUACCAAGGCGACGAUCUGUAGCGGGUCUGAGAGGAUGAGCCGCCACACUGGGACUGAGACACGGCCCAGACUCCUACGGGAGGCAGCAGUGGGGAAUAUUGGACAAUGGGCGAAAGCCUGAUCCAGCCAUGCCGCGUGUGUGAAGAAGGCCUUUUGGUUGUAAAGCACUUUAAGCGAGGAGGAGGCUACUUGGAUUAAUACUCUAGGAUAGUGGACGUUACUCGCAGAAUAAGCACCGGCUAACUCUGUGCCAGCCGCCGCGGUAAUAC
rnacentral:rRNA from 1 species